rnacentral:rRNA from 1 species
GACGAACGCUGGCUUCGUGCUUAACACAUGCAAGUCGAACGGUAAGGCUCCAGCUUGCUGGGGUACACGAGUGGCGAACGGGUGAGUAACACGUGGGUGACCUGCCCUGCACUUCGGGAUAAGCCUGGGAAACUGGGUCUAAUACCGGAUAGGACCGCACCGUGAGGGUGUGGUGGAAAGUUUUUUCGGUGUGGGAUGGGCCCGCGGCCUAUCAGCUUGUUGGUGGGGUAAUGGCCUACCAAGGCGGCGACGGGUAGCCGGCCUGAGAGGGUGGACGGCCACAUUGGGACUGAGACACGGCCCAGACUCCUACGGGAGGCAGCAGUGGGGAAUAUUGCACAAUGGGCGGAAGCCUGAUGCAGCGACGCCGCGUGGGGGAUGACGGCCUUCGGGUUGUAAACUCCUUUCACCAUCGACGAAGGGUUUCUGACGGUAGAUGGAGAAGAAGCACCGGCUAACUACGUGCCAGCAGCCGCGGUAAUACGUAGGGUGCGAGCGUUGUCCGGAAUUACUGGGCGUAAAGAGCUCGUAGGUGGUUUGUCGCGUCGUCUGUGAAAUUCCGGGGCUUAACUCCGGGCGUGCAGGCGAUACGGGCAUAACUUGAGUACUGUAGGGGAGACUGGAAUUCCUGGUGUAGCGGUGAAAUGCGCAGAUAUCAGGAGGAACACCGGUGGCGAAGGCGGGUCUCUGGGCAGUAACUGACGCUGAGGAGCGAAAGCAUGGGGAGCGAACAGGAUUAGAUACCCUGGUAGUCCAUGCCGUAAACGGUGGGCGCUAGGUGUGGGUUUCCUUCCACGGGAUCCGUGCCGUAGCUAACGCAUUAAGCGCCCCGCCUGGGGAGUACGGCCGCAAGGCUAAAACUCAAAGGAAUUGACGGGGGCCCGCACAAGCGGCGGAGCAUGUGGAUUAAUUCGAUGCAACGCGAAGAACCUUACCUGGGCUUGACAUAUACAGGAUCGCGCCAGAGAUGGUGUUUCCCUUGUGGCUUGUAUACAGGUGGUGCAUGGUUGUCGUCAGCUCGUGUCGUGAGAUGUUGGGUUAAGUCCCGCAACGAGCGCAACCCUUGUCUUAUGUUGCCAGCACGUUGUGGUGGGGACUCGUAAGAAACUGCCGAGGUUAACUCGGAGGAAGGUGGGGAUGACGUCAAAUCAUCAUGCCCCUUAUGUCCAGGGCUUCACACAUGCUACAAUGGUCGGUACAGUGGGUUGCCAGUCCGUGAGGGCGAGCUAAUCCCGCAAAGCCGGUCUCAGUUCGGAUCGGGGUCUGCAACUCGACCCCGUGAAGUCGGAGUCGCUAGUAAUCGCAGAUCAGCAACGCUGCGGUGAAUACGUUCCCGGGCCU